AACGAACGCUGGCAGCGUGGAUUAGGCAUGCAAGUCGAACGAGAAUCCCUGAUGUAGCAAUACAACGGGGAGGAGAGUGGCGAAAGGGUGAGUAACGCGUGGGCAAUCUACCUCGAAGUUGGGGAUAACCCGUCGAAAGGCGGGCUAAUACCGAAUGUGGUUAUCUGUCGCAUGGCGGAUGGACUGAAGGCGGGGACCGCAAGGCCUGUCGCUUCGAGAGGAGCCCGCGUCCUAUCAGCUUGUUGGUGAGGUAACGGCUCACCAAGGCUUACGGGUAGCUGGUCUGAGAGGAUGGUCAGCCACACUGGGACUGAGACACUGCCCAGACUCCUACGGGAGGCUG
rnacentral:rRNA from 1 species